rnacentral:piRNA from 1 species
UGCAAUGUUAUGCAACCGCCACAACAUU